CCUACGGGUGGCAGCAGUAGGGAAUAUUGCUCAAUGGGGGAAACCCUGAAGCAGCAACGCCGCGUGGAGGAUGAAGGUUUUCGGAUUGUAAACUCCUUUUGUUAGAGAAGCUAAUGACGGUAUCUAACGAAUAAGCACCGGCUAACUCCGUGCCAGCAGCCGCGGUAAUACGGAGGGUGCAAGCGUUACUCGGAAUCACUGGGCGUAAAGAGCGCGUAGGCGGGAUAGCAAGUCAGAUGUUAAAUCCUAUGGCUUAACCAUAGAACUUCAUUUGAAACUGUUAUUCUAGAGUAUGGGAGAGGGAGGUGGAAUGCUUGGGGUAGGGGGAAAAGCCGGAGAGAUAAAGAGGAAU
rnacentral:rRNA from 1 species